AGAUUGAACGCUGGCGGCAUGCCUAACACAUGCAAGUCGAACGGCAGCGCGGGUAGCAAUACCUGGCGGCGAGUGGCGGACGGGUGAGGAAUACAUAGGAAUCUACCCUGUCGUGGGGGAUAACGUAGGGAAACUUACGCUAAUACCGCAUACGACCGAGAGGUGAAAGCGGCGGACCGCAAGGCGUCGCGCGGCUGGAUGAGCCUAUGUCCGAUUAGCUAGGUUGGCGGGGUAAGAGCCCACCAAGGCGACGAUCGGUAG
rnacentral:rRNA from 1 species